rnacentral:piRNA from 2 species
GACAGGACUUGAUCACUGAGUUGAUGUGGA